rnacentral:rRNA from 1 species
UACGUAGGUGGCAAGCGUUGUCCGGAUUUACUGGGCGUAAAGGGGCGUGCAGGCGGUUUGUUAAGUGCAGGGUGAAAGCUCCCGGCUCAACUGGGAGAGGUCCUUGCAUACUGGCAGACUUGAGGGAGGCAGAGGAAAGUGGAAUUCCCAGUGUAGUGGUGAAAUACGUAGAGAUUGGGAAGAACACCAGUGGCGAAGGCGGCUAUCUGGACGGUUUCUGACACUAAGACUCGAAAGCGUGGGGAGCAAACAGG